UUCCAUUGCCAACACACUUUUUUUCUUGACAGGGAACUACGGCGGGCUUAUGCCUACUGAACUAUAUUCGAAACUAUCAGAGUGUAUAGCAGAUUAGAGCAGAUUACAGCAGCCUUAAAGAUUGUUGGCCAUUAACGGUUAUCCAUGGCACUAAAACUACUUGAUCUCAAUACAUUCACCUCACAACACUUGUUGGCGAAAACAUGUGCUAUAGCACCAAAGAAGUUGAGGUCAAAUUAAUGAGGAGUUGUGUGAUCUGAGGAGAAACUAUUCUCAUGCAAAUCGGAUAAUUGUUGUAGGAAUUAAAAGGCACAUGAUUGUACUGUUGUUCUGGGAUUUCGUUUCUCACGUUCCUCGACCCUAAUGUCUACAUGAGAUGUGAGUUCAACGGAUAAAGGAAAUCACAUUACUAAUAGAAUGAUGCCGCAGCAAAGAAAAUGCUCUCAGCCUUGGACGAUCCAUUCACUCGAUUCUUGAAACCAUUACCUUUUCUGAAGCAAGACUAGCUAGCACCCAAGGUGCCCUGGCAGGGGUCAUCAAGGAAACUCAAUAGAUGGCUAUUUCAGUGGAGAUUAUACCAGAGAUGUUGUUUUGAA